rnacentral:rRNA from 1 species
AUGUCACGAGCCGGAAUCGAACCGGCGCUUUCCAGAUGCAUGGUCCGGAUAGAUACCUAUCAGAUCGCGACUUUGAUUUCUCAGUUCAAGGGGAAACCUCCCUACAUCUGCGGGCUGGCGGUCCUACCGGCCAGCCGACACAAAAUCCAAUUCGAGUUUGAAAUACGGAGCCAGAAAGAGUUUUUCAAUUCAAUACGGAGCCUGAAAGAGUUUAUAAAUACAAUACGGAGCCUUAAAGAGUUUAUAAAUACAAUACGGAGCCUGAAAGAGUUUUUCAAUUCAAUACGGAGCCUGAAAUAG